rnacentral:lncRNA from 1 species
AUGGGGGGUCAUGAUCUGCUGCGGAUUUUGGUCACUGUGCUGUUCGUGUUGGCUUAUGUGGUGGUUUUGGCAGUAAACGCUCUGGCUGGUUCGGGGAAAGGUCCAUUCUUAAGAAGUACCGGUAAUGUGUCAGGGCUGUAUGAGACGGAGAUCACCCCUGCUGGUUGGGCCUUCUCCAUAUGGGGAUUCCUCUACACCUGGCUCCUCCUCAUGAACAUAUAUAUUGUCACCUGGUUCUGUAGACGGUUAAUGAUCCCAGCGCUUGUAGUGUUGGCUCUGAUUGCGUUUACCAACUACUUCAUCAUCUACUUCUCCUGUGUUGGCCUGCAAGCGCAUGGAGCCAGGCUCAAACAGAACCACCCCGCUGACCUCUGCUGCAUCCGUGUUCUGGUUCAGAAUGGUAUUGCUGCCUAUGCCACAUGGACUACAAUAGCCACGCUCCUCAACUUGGCCGUGGUGCUUGGUCUUGGAUCAGUGUCGCCAACAAAUGCUGGCACUGUUUCUCUGUGCCUUCUCCUGCUAGAAGUGAUUGUGUGGUUUGCUGUGGAGAACUUUGUGGUGGAGAAGCAUGUCCGCUACAUUCUGAGUGUUUACCCCGUCGUCAUCUACGCUCUGAUUGGAAGCUUGAGCAGACACUACGACCCUGCAGCUCCAGGCAGGAACGCAGUCUUUACAGCUGUUCUCCUGUCUCUGGCCUGUAUCUUGUUCAUUGCGCGUGUGGUGCUGGUGAUUUGGAGACACCGUACUCAGCCUCUGUUCCAGGACGGGGUAGCUGAGGGGCUGAUGAGACCUGUCAGCACUACAGACAAGUAGCAGCACAGGGUAUACUGUACAUUACUCUAAACAUGAAGCACCACUCCACUUGCCAAAGUAUUUACUGCGGAAUGUGUUCAAAAUAUACAUGUUUUUUUUUUGACUGGUCAAAUCAUACAGUAUAUCAGUGCCCACCCACACACUCAUACACUAACACCACCAAACAGCUCCAACAGUUAAACAACACCUAAAGAAAACCUCACGUCUCCAUGUAUUACUCCACCACAUACAGGUAACCUAGCAACGAUGCAGCGCUUACAAGCCAAACAGCACAGCUACAAACAGAGCAGCAAUGGAAUUAUUUUAUCUUGUGGAGUGUUUAAAGCCUAACAGCUCGUCUUUUCUCAUCCUUUUUAACUCAAUCUAUCUAAUCUAUCAAUAAACAGUUAUAAUGGAACUGUGCUAUAAUCGCA